UCCAGACUCCUACGGGAGGCAGCAGUGAGGAAUAUUGGUCAAUGGGAGAGAUCCUGAACCAGCCAAGCCGCGUGAGGGAAGACGGCCCUAUGGGUUGUAAACCUCUUUUGUCGGAGAACAAAACCCGGGACGUGUCCCGGACUGCGUGUAUCCGAAGAAAAAGCAUCGGCUAACUCCGUGCCAGCAGCCGCGGUAAUACGGAGGAUCCGAGCGUUAUCCGGAUUUAUUGGGUUUAAAGGGAGCGUAGAUGGGUUGUUAAGUCAGUUGUGAAAGUUUGCGGCUCAACCGUAAAAUUGCAAUUGAUACUGGCAGCCUUGAGUACAGUUGAGGUAGGCGGAAUUCGUGGUGUAGCGGUGAAAUGCAUAGAUAUCACGCAGAACUCCGAUUGCGAAGGCAGCAUACCGGCGCCCAACUGACGCUGAAGCACGAAAGCGUGGGUAUCGAACAGGAUUAGAUACCCGCGUA
rnacentral:rRNA from 1 species